rnacentral:rRNA from 1 species
UACGUAGGGAGCAAGCGUUGUCCGGAAUCAUUGGGCGUAAAGCGCGCGUAGGUGGCUUCGUAAGUCCGUUGUGAAAGUCAAAGGCUCAACCUUUGAAAGCCGAUGGAUACUGCGGAGCUAGAGUACGGAAGAGGCGAGUGGAAUUCCUGGUGUAGCGGUGGAAUGCGCAGAUAUCAGGAGGAACACCAAUGGCGAAGGCAGCUCGCUGGAACGGUACUGACGCUGAGGCGCGAAAGCGUGGGGAGCGAACAGG